GUUAGGAAUAUUGGACAAUGGGCGCAAGCCUGAUCCAGCCAUGCCGCGUGAACGAUGAAGGCCUUCGGGUUGUAAAGUUCUUUAGCCGAUGAUUAUAAUGACUGUAGUCGGAAAAUAAGCCCCGGCUAACUUCGUGCCAGCAGCCGCGGUAAUACGAAGGGGGCAAGCGUUAUUCGGAAUCACUGGGCGUAAAGCGUGCGUAGGCGGUCUCGUAAGUUAGGAGUGAAAGCCCAGGGCUCAACCUUGGAAUUGCUCUUAAUACUGCAAGGCUAGAAUCUCGGAGAGGAUAGCGGAAUUUCCAGUGUAGCAGUGAAAUGCGUAGAUAUUGGAAGGAACACCAGUGGCGUAAGCGGCUAUCUGGACGAGUAUUGACGCUGAGGCACGAAAGCGUGGGGAUCAAACAGGAUUAGAAACCCUGGUAGUCC
rnacentral:rRNA from 1 species